rnacentral:rRNA from 1 species
GACGAACGCUGGCGGCGUGCCUAAUACAUGCAAGUAGAACGCUGAAGAGAGGAGCUUACUCUUCUUGGAUGAGUUGCGAACGGGUGAGUAACGCGUAGGUAACCUGCCUUGUAGCGGGGGAUAACUAUUGGAAACGAUAGCUAAUACCGCAUAGCAAUGGAUGACACAUGUCAUUUAUUUGAAAGGGGCAAUUGCUCCACUACAAGAUGGACCUGCGUUGUAUUAGCUAGUAGGUGAGGUAAUGGCUCACCUAGGCGACGAUACAUAGCCGACCUGAGAGGGUGAUCGGCCACACUGGGACUGAGACACGGCCCAGACUCCUACGGGGGGCAGCAGUAGGGAAUCUUCGGCAAUGGGGGCAACCCUGACCGAGCAACGCCGCGUGAGUGAAGAAGGUUUUCGGAUCGUAAAGCUCUGUUGUAAGUCAAGAACGGGUGUGAGAGUGGAAAGUUCACACUGUGACGGUAGCUUACCAGAAAGGGACGGCUAACUACGUG